rnacentral:misc_RNA from 1 species
GAUGAAGAACGUAGCGAAAUGCGAUAAGUAAUGUGAAUUGCAGAAUUCAGUGAAUCAUCGAAUCUUUGAACGCACAUUGCGCCCGCCAGUAUUCUGGCGGGCAUGCCUGUUCGAGCGUCAUUUCAACCAUCAAGCCCCAGGCUUGUGUUGGAGCCCUGCGGCUGCCGCAGCCUCCCAAAACCAGUGGCGGGCUCGCUAUCACACCGAGUGCAGUAGUUUACUCUUCGCUCAGGGCGUGUGGCGGGUGCUAGCCGUAAAACCCCCAACGUCUCAAGGUUGACCUCGGAUCAGGUAGGAAUACCCGCUGAACUUAAGCAUAUCAAUAAGCGGAGGA